CCCUUAGAUGUUCUGGGCCGCACGCGCGCUACACUGAUGCAUUCAACGAGUGUACCUUGGCCGAGAGGCCUGGGCAAUCUUUUGAACGUGCAUCGUGAUAGGGAUAGAUUAUUGCAAUUAUUAAUCUUGAACGAGGAAUUCCUAGUAAACGCAGUUCAUCAAACUGCAUUGAUUACGUCCCUGCCCUUUGUACACACCGCCCGUCGCACCUACCAAUUGGAUGGUCCGGUGAAGCCUCGGGAUUGUGGCGGUUGCCUUUAUUGGUGGCCGCCGCGAGAACUUGUCUAAACCUUAUCAUCUAGAGGAAGGUGAAGUCGUAACA
rnacentral:rRNA from 1 species